GCCUCUAAUUUCAGUCUUUAUGCACCAUAUAUUCACUAAACAAUACACAAGGCUUGAAUUUCCAAGUUAUUUUGGUCUUUAUAUCACUUCCAAAGGAUUUAUGAACAUUAAACACUUUCGUUUGCAACAGUUGGUAAAGCCAAAAGGGAAACACACAUUGUCAGAGGCAUGCUGUACCUAUUCUGCGCAAUUGAAGGUCCAGCUCACCAUUUCUUUCACCAGCUUUAAAAAUAAAUUUACAAUCAUGCUCUGUUUUAAAACUAACCAGUACAUUC
rnacentral:misc_RNA from 1 species